UACGUAGGGUGCAAGCGUUGUCCGGAAUUAUUGGGCGUAAAGAGCUCGUAGGCGGUCUGUCGCGUCGAAUGUGGAAACCCGGGGCUCAACCCCGGGCCUGCAUUCGAUACGGGCAGACUAGAGUUCGGUAGGGGAGUCUGGAAUUCCUGGUGUAGCGGUGAAAUGCGCAGAUAUCAGGAGGAACACCAAUAGCGAAGGCAGCUCGCUGGGACGGUACUGACGCUAAGGCGCGAAAGCGUGGGGAGCGAACAGG
rnacentral:rRNA from 1 species